UGGGGAAUAUUGCACAAUGGGCGCAAGCCUGAUGCAGCCAUGCCGCGUGUAUGAAGAAGGCCUUCGGGUUGUAAAGUACUUUCAGCGGGGAGGAAGGGAGUAAAGUUAAUACCUUUGCUCAUUGACGUUACCCGCAGAAGAAGCACCGGCUAACUCCGUGCCAGCAGCCGCGAUAAUACGGAGGGUGCAAGCGUUAAUCGGAAUUACUGGGCGUAAAGCGCACGCAGGCGGUCUGUCAAGUCGGAUGUGAAAUCCCCGGGCUCAACCUGGGAACUGCAUGCGAAACUGGCAGGCUAGAGUCUUGUAGAGGGGGGUAGAAGUCCAGGUGUAGCGGUGAAAUGCGUAGAGAUCUGGAGGAAUACCGGUGGCGAAGGCGGCCCCCUGGACAAAGACUGACGCUCAGGUGCGAAAGCGUGGGGAGCAAACAGG
rnacentral:rRNA from 1 species